AGGGCUAGAUCAUUAGUUUGGCUGUGUUGUCACUUUGAUUUGCAUUACUUUACAUUCACGUUGAAGUUAACUAUUGUAGUCCUUACUCAAUGCUUAAUCAGACAAAUUUCCAUUGUUUUCAAUGAGUUUUUCCUGAUUAAGGAAAAUCUAACAAACUGAGGAUCAGAUUAUGCUGUAUACAGCUGUGGAAGGGGGAGACAAGAAGGCUUCCUUCCAGUUUUGUGGCCUGCACAAGAGCUCGGCAUAUCUGUACUUUGGAAGGUGCAGAGGCUGUUCCUUCUCUAUUCCUCCAGGGUGCACACAAUGCCCUAGAGGGGGAUGCAAGGCUAUUACUUCGCUCCAUAUCACACCAUCCCAUAAAUGGUGACCGGUGCAGCAGGAAAAUAAGCAGCACUCUUAUGUUUUCCUCCCUCCGGAGUAGAGAGAUGGGGAAACUGAAGCAAUGGUGAACUGAACAAAACAAGUCAAUGGCAGAGCUGGGCCUAAAGCUCAGGAUCUCCUAUCAACCAAAUGCUUUCAUUUCUUCAGACUAUGCUAUCUUCCAUGUCACAUACAGUAUGUUCAUGACAUGGGCCCUUGUAAAUGUCUCCCUCUUUGUGUUCAAUAACAGAAACAAGGAUUUAUGUAUGUCUCAUUUCUGCAGGCCGUCUCACAUUUCUCAUUUGUGUUACUUUCUUUUGUUCUGACUCCCUGAGCCUACCACACUGAAACCCCCCCACAAUUUUUCAUCAAUGUUUUGUUGUCCUGUUUUUAAUACCCCAAGAAGAUCCUCAUAUCUUUAUUUUGCAUAUACACAAGUGUGAUGUGAUUUAGCUGUCACCAGUAUGAUCAAAGUUCUGAGUAGUCAGGUUGUGGACAACAAAACACAAGGACUGUAAACAGUAUGCUUGGCGUAGUUUAUGUGAUCUUCCACUGCGUCACCAGUUGUUUGAUUUUCUGCUUUCUAGUACAUCUCUUGGAGCUGGACAAAGUUCACAGGGUAAAGAGUACUGCUCAGUGAUCUAUAUAACAGUUUUGUCAGUCAUUCUCUUGUCUCAUUAGGCUCAAGCUUAUGUGUACUGUGCAGCAACGAUUUCACAUAAGUCUGUAAGUGGCCUGAUUUGUAGAAUAAGUAUGUACCUGUGCCUCCAAUGAAUAUGAACCUGUGAUGUCAUUGUCCAUCCCCAAUCCAAGUACUGAGAGUUACAUUUGAACAACAUGAACAUCUCACUGAAACUUGCCAAUCUUUCUUCUUUGUUAUAACACGUGAAAAUAAGUCAGAGCAACUAUGACAAAAUUGUAAUCAGAAUCUUAUUCAUGCUCUCAUUGUAUGGUAAAUACUUAAAAUACAGUUAGCACCUGAGUUUUUAGGGGAGGUGUGUCUGUUUGUAUGCAGGGGGUGGGGGUUCCCUGCAGCCAGUAACCUUUAAAUCUGGCAUCCGUCAAUAAAAGAGGAAAAAAAGAGAGGUGGGGAGAAAGAGAAGGUCUGCAGCAGACUUGCCCAAAAUGGAGCCAAUGUUCACAGCUUUGCACACUGAGUUCUGUUUUCAUCACUGUCAGACGUCACCAUUAGAUUUGAUUUGAUCAGAUCUGUCCUGCACUGUUGUAUCACCUUUCAAACUGAUAGCAUAAAAAACAAAGAGAGAAGGUUACAGGAAACAACCUUUUGAAAUGGCCUGUCUCUCACUGCUAUGUAAUCCCUUUUCUCUCUAACCUCAGCCAAUUUACAGAAACCAAGGCAUGGUAGCUGAAUAAAUAAACACAAAUCUUUGCAGUAAAUCAUUAGCAGUAUGCUUUUAUUAUCAUUCAUAAAAUCAUAACUAUACUCUAUACUUUAUUGCACCUUUCUUAGGGACUCUCAAAACCUUUUAAAAACAUUAACAAAUUUAGCCUCAAGAGCCCUGAGGUUGGUAAGUAUUAUCCCCAUUUACCACAUAGUGAAUUAGAGACACGGAGAAGUUAAAGUGAUUUGCUCAAAGUCAUACAGCAAGUCAGUGACAGAACUGGGAUUAAAAUCUAAUAUCUUUUGGAUGCCCCCAUAAUAUGCCACAACAAAAGGUUUACUAAAGCAUUAAUCUAGCUAGGUA